rnacentral:rRNA from 1 species
CACGUAGGGGGCGAGCGUUGUCCGGAUUCAUUGGGCGUAAAGGGCGCGCAGGCGGCGCGGUAAGUCGGGUGUGAAAUCUCGGGGCUUAACUCCGAAACUGCAUUCGAUACUGCCGUGCUUGAGGACUGGAGAGGAGACUGGAAUUUACGGUGUAGCGGUGAAAUGCGUAGAUAUCGUAAGGAAGACCAGUGGCGAAGGCGGGUCUCUGGACAGUUCCUGACGCUGAGGCACGAAGGCCAGGGGAGCAAACGGG